rnacentral:ncRNA from 1 species
CGCGCGGGAGAGUCCUUGUCCUCGGACAAGGCGCCGAAGGAGCAACCGCCCCGGAAUCUCUCAGGCCCCGGGACCGCGCG